UCUUAGAAGGCAAUGGAAAGAAGAGAUGCGGUUGCUUGUUUGAAUGAGGCAAUGGAAAGACAAGGACUAAGAUAUUAGGUAGGAAGGAGUGCUUUUAUGUAAGUCUAUUUCCACUAGACACUACUUUGAAUUUGGGGCACUUGUAUAUGAAGAACUUUCCUACAAGCUUAAGGGUAAAUACAAGAUUCAAGCUUAUCGCAAUGAAAAAGUCAGGACUUUCAUAAUGUAUAUAUAAGAACUGGCAGGAGAUUAUAUGUUAAAUGUACUAGUUACAAGGUAUUUGUUCUUCUUAUAGAGAACAAGUUGGUGUACAUAAGUUACACUAAAUCUUGCUUACCAUAUACUGUAAUUUUAUUAAGCUUUUUAUUCAUG